CUUGUACUCCCUCCGUCCGGAAAUACUUGUCUUCAAAAUGAAUAAAAGGGGAUGUAUCUAGAUGUAUUUUAGUUCUAGAUACAUCCCUUUUUGUCCAUUUUGAUGACAAGUUUUUUCGGACGGAGGGAGUAUGUU
rnacentral:pre_miRNA from 1 species